rnacentral:rRNA from 1 species
UUGGGGUUGCGGACAUAUCAUAACGAAGAGGUAUCGUAAUUGAAGAGGUUUGGAAAGACCCACCACAGAAGGUAAUAGUCCUGUAUGUUAAACGAGAAGACUUUAGAUAUGAUCCAGAGUACCACGGGACACGUGAAACCCUGUGGGAAGCAGGAGGGACCACCCUCCAAGGCUAAAUACUACCUAGUGACCGAUAGCGUAUAGUACCGUGAGGGAAAGGUGAAAAGAACCCCGGGAGGGGAGGGAAAUAGAACCUGAAACCCUGCACUUACAAGCUGUGGAAGCACAUUUCUUGUGUGACCGCGUACUUUUUGUAGAACGGGCCAACGAGUUACGUUAAGUAGCAAGGUUAAGCACUUAAGGUGUGGAGC